rnacentral:rRNA from 1 species
GAAAAAAGAGUAUAUGGCGGAUGCCUUGGCUUGAAGUGGCGACGAAGGACGUGGCGUGUCUGCGAUAAGCUUCGGGGAGGUGACUAGCAACCUUUGAUCCGGAGAUGUCCGAAUAGGGAAACCUAGCUGCGCAAACCGCAGUUGGUUCUGUCUUGAAAGGGACAGAAUAGCGAACCCAGGGAAGUGAAACAUCUCAGUACCUGGAGGAAAAGAAAACAACAUUCAGUCUUCUAGUUGGCUCGUUAUGAUCGGCAACGAUGUGUUGCGCGCAAGCGCAACAGACGAGCAAACUAGUCGACUGAAUCCAUUCCCUUAGUAGCGGCGAGCGAAACGGGAAGAGCCCAAACCUGUUCUUUUAGAAUGGGGGUUGAAAGAUGUAUUUGUUGAGUUUUACUCAGGGGAGAUAAGGAAUGGUUAAUAGAAGCUGUCUGGAAAGGCAGGCCAAAGAGGGUAAUAGCCCCGUACAUGAAAAUUAUUUCUUACUUUCUAAAUACAUUCUUAAGUACCUCGAGGAACGAAUGCCUCGGGGGAAUCAGGGAGUACUAGCUCCCAAGGCUAAAUACACUUCAAGACCGAUAGUGAACUAGUACCGUGAGGGAAAGGUGAAAAGUAGCCCGAUGAGGGCGAUGAAAUAGUACCUGAAACCAUAUACUUACAAGGAGUCGGAGCCUCGGUUUACCGGGGUGACGGCGUGCCUAUUGAAGAAUGAGCCAACGAGUUUUUGCAUGCUGCUCGUUUAAUUUGCCUCAGGCGAAGAAAGCAUAGGGAAACCGAGUGUUAAUAGCGCGAACUAUUCUUUCCAAUUCACUCGCACAUGCGAGUGAAUUGGCAAAGAAUAAAGGCAACAUGCAAAAGACCCGAAGCCAGGUGAGCUACCCAUGGCCAGGAUGAAUUUCGCCGAAAGGCGGAAGGAGGUCCGAACCGGUUGAUCGUACAACGUCAUCGGAUGAGCUGUGGGUCGGAGUGAAAAGCUAAUCGAACCUGGUAAUAGCUGGUUUUCUCCGAAAUAACUUUAGGGUUAGCGUCUUUAUUAUCUUUCGGGGGUAGAGCUACUGGAUGGGAUGCAUAGGGCGAAAGCUCGGCUUUCCAACCAAACUCCGAAUACCGAAAGUAUUGUAAGGGCAGUUAGACUAUGGGGGCGAAGCUCCAUUGGUCAAGAGGGAAACAGCCCAGAUCUCAAUCUAAGGUCCCCAAAUCUCUGCUAAGUGUUUUGAAGGUGGUGAAAUUUCUCAGACAGCGAGGAGGUUGGCUUAGAAGCAGCCACCCUUUAAAGAGUGCGUAACAGCUCACUCGUCAAGAGAUAUUGCGCCGAAAAUAAUCGGGGCUAAAGCAGAGUACCGAAGGUGAGGGCGUUAUGCUUUGCAUAACGCGGUAGGAGAACAUUCCUAGUGCAGUAAAGCUGCUUCGUGAGAAGUGGUGGAGCGCUGGGAAGCGAGAAUGUUGGCACAAGUAACCGCAAUACAGGUGAGAGCCCUGUACGCCGAAAGCUCAAGGUUUCCUUGGCAAUGUUGAUCAGCCAAGGGUGAGUCGGUCCUAAGGCGAUGCCGAAAGGCGUAGUUGAUGGACACACGGUUAAUAUUCCGUGACUUCCGUACAUUUCCGAUGGAGGGACGGAGGAUAUAAAAAAGAGCGCGUUAUUGGAUUCGCGUUUGUUUUGCAAAGAGACGUUUUCUUGGUAAAUCCGGAAAACAGCCUUCGGGCAAAUCUCGCGCAACGCAGAAAUUCUUUCGUUUCGGAAGAAAAUUCUUUUGAAGAGCCUUCCAAGAAAAACUUCUAGGGUUACAUGUAUGGAAACCGUACCGUAAUCCGACACAGGUGAGCAGGUCGAGAAGACCAAGGCGAACGGGUGAGUGCUCCCCAAGGAACUCGGCAAACAAGCGGGCGUAACUUUGGAAUAAGCCCUCCCGCACGCAAGUGCGGGCGCAGCUAAAGUACCCCUGGCGACUGUUUACCAAAAACACAGCUCUCUGCGAACUCGUAAGAGGAUGUAUAGAGGGUGACGCCUGACCAAUGCGAGAAGGUUAACGUUGGUGGUGCUGCCGCAAGGUAGUGCUGACCGACCGAAGCCCUCGUCAAUGUCGGCCGUAACUAUAACGGUCCUAAGGUAGCGUAUUUCCUUGUCGGGUAAGUUCCGACGUGCACGAAAGGCGUAACGACUGGGGGACUGUCUCGGGGAGUAGCCCGGUGAAAAUGCAAUACCGGUGAAGAUGCCGGUUACCUGCAGUUAGACGAAAAGACCCCGGAAGCUUUACUGCAACUUGAUAUUGGCUCUAAGAAUGUGAUGCGUAGAAUAGUGGGGAGGCUUUGAAGUGUCGCUUUAGGGUGACAUGGAGCCGCCAGUGAAAUACCCAUCUUCCCAUUUUUAGAUUCUAACCUUUAUGGAGAAAACAUACGGGGACAGUAUCUGGUGGGCAGUUUAAGUGGGGCGCUUACCUCCUAAAAAGUAACGGAGGUGUCUAUCAAGGUCAGCUAGGUGCGGAUGGAAAUCGCGCCGAUAGUGUAAUGGCAAAAGCUGGCUUAACUGUAAGACGGACAUGUCAAACUUCCGAACUUUCGGAACUUUCUAUGCUUUCAUGUAUAGAAAGAGAUGCGAAAGCAGAGCAUAGUGAACCGACCGUGGGCACUAGACGCCGCGGAAGAUUAACGGAUAAAAGCUACUCCGGGGAUAACAGGCUGGUCGCUUCCAAGAGUCCAUAUCGACGAAGCGGUUCGGCACCUCGAUGUCGGCUCGUCACAUCCUGGGGCUGGAGAAGGUCCCAAGGGUUGGGCUGUUCGCCCAUUAAAGUGGCACGCGAGCUGGGUUCAGACCGUCGUGAGACAGGUUGGUCUCCUAUCUACUGCAGGCGUUGAUUCUUGAGAGGAGUUUCUUCUAGUACGAGAGGACCGAAGAGAACUGACCUCUGGUGUGCCAGCUGUUCUGCCAAGAGCACCGCUGGGUAGCUAUGUCGGGAUGGGAUAACCGCUGAAGGCAUCUAAGCGGGAAGCCCACCUCAAGAUUAGGAAUCAUUAAGACCCCUCGGAGAUGACGAGGUUGAUAGGCAGCAGGUGUACGCUCUGUGAGGAGUUAAGCCGAGCUGUACUAAGUGGUCAAUC